AACAGUAGUCCACAUCAUACUCUAAAGACUUAUAUAUGCGUUUUUGUUUUUAUACAACAUAACCAAUUUUGUAAUCAUGCAUCUACUUUUGGAUGGAACUCACAAACUUAUGAAGUAAAAACCAAAGAGAAGUCUUCUCCCAUAUUUACUCGAUGCGAAAUGAAGGGAGCUACGUACAAUUUGUUUUACUCAUGCGAGCUAUUCCAAUUUAAUGCAAAUGCAAAUGUGUAGUUUUACA